rnacentral:rRNA from 1 species
AUGCUUGCUGCCUCUGCCUGCUGUUGUGCUGAUGCAGCUGCUGCUUUGCUGUUGCCGUCGUCAGGCCCUGCAGCCGCUCGCGACGCCGCGUUCACGUCUCGUUCCGCCUCGCCUCCGGCCGCUGCCCUUGCGUGCCCCGCGCCGGCCGCGCGCCCGCACGCGCGCUACUGCGCUUGGCCGCGCCUGCGCCACGGCUCUGCCCAGCCACCACUCCUCUACGAAGCCACCACUCCUCUACGAGUACUACUACUAGCUACUGUAGAUGUAGUUAGCUUUGCUAAAUCUACAAUGAGUAACCCCCUGGGCAGCACCUAA